rnacentral:tRNA from 1 species
GCGGUCGUGGUGGAACGGUAGACACGCCAGUUUGAGGGACUGGUGCCGCGAGGUGUGGAGGUUCAAAUCCUCUCGACCGCACCA